rnacentral:lncRNA from 1 species
UAUAAAAGUAAGAGUAUAAUAUCACUCACCAUGACGCCAGCAGAGUAUGCUUGAUCAACGAUGCCCUCAAAUCCUAAUUGCUCCAGCUAUUUCCGAUCGGCCGGAAGCGUGGCACAAUGGACGAUCUCGCGAACGACGUCGCUAGAUUCGAGGGCCGAAUCAUCCUCGAACAGAUUAUUCUCGGGAAGGAAUGGUGUCCUCCCGGGCUCA